rnacentral:rRNA from 1 species
AUUGAACGCUGGCGGCAGGCUUAACACAUGCAAGUCGAACGAUGAAGAUAUAGCUUGCUAUAUCGGAUUAGUGGCGGACGGGUGAGUAACACUUAGGAAUCUACCUUUUAGCGGGGGAUAGCUCGGGGAAACUCGAAUUAAUACCGCAUAAUUUCUACGGAAUAAAGAGGGCUUUUAGCUCUCACUAGAAGAUGAGCCUAAGUAAGAUUAGCUAGUUGGUGGGGUAAAAGCCUACCAAGGCGACGAUCUUUAGCUGGUCUGAGAGGAUGAUCAGCCACACUGGGACUGAGACACGGCCCAGACUCCUACGGGAGGCAGCAGUGGGGAAUAUGGGACAAUGGGGGCAACCCUGAUCCAGCCAUGCCGCGUGUGUGAAGAAGGCCUUUUGGUUGUAAAGCACUUUAAGCAGUGAAGAAGACCUAUUGGUUAAUACCCAAUAGCGAUGACAUUAACUGCAGAAUAAGCACCGGCUAACUCUGUGCCAGCAGCCGCGGUAAUACAGAGGGUGCAAGCGUUAAUCGGAAUUACUGGGCGUAAAGCGAGCGUAGGUGGUUAAAUAAGUCAGAUGUGAAAGCCCUGGGCUCAACCUAGGAACGGCAUCUGAAACUAUUUAACUAGAGUAGGUGAGAGGGAAGUAGAAUUUCAGGUGUAGCGGUGAAAUGCGUAGAGAUCUGAAGGAAUACCGAUGGCGAAGGCAGCUUCCUGGCAUCAUACUGACACUGAGGCUCGAAAGCGUGGGUAGCAAACAGG